AGCACUUUAGCGCAGAGGAAGCGCGUUGGGCUCAUAUGCAUCGGUUUCUCCCGCUGCGGUGACACCCAAAGGCCCCAGGAUCGAAACCUGGAAGUGCUA